rnacentral:snRNA from 10 species
GUGCUUGCUUCGGCAGCACACGUACUAAAAUCAGAACGAUACGGAGAAGAUUAGCACGGCCCCUGCACAAGGAUGAUGUGCAAAUUCAUGAAACAUUCCAUAUUUUU